GUACCGGGUUAGGUAUGUAUCUAGAGUAUGCAGAAGACUUCCAGCGCCCUAGUGACUUGAUAACAUGUACUGGAAUGUUUGCACUGGACGCUGUGAAGGCCGCCCCUAUGCGGAAGGAGUGGCCCGAAUAGUUAGCUGAUUUUAGGCCUAGUUGUGUAAGUAGGGACCUGACGUGGGUCAUGAAGGUGGUGGUAGUGAGUACCGAACCUUGUAGACAGAAAAGUGGUUGAGAUGGUGAUGCUUUGAAAUGCUGAGUAUAGGUGUCCAGUAAUGUGACGGGGCACCACACGCUGUGGGUAGGAUAGUAUCUAACCUCUACC